rnacentral:misc_RNA from 1 species
GAAAGAAGAAUGGACACAUAUUUACUUGGUUCGACUGUAAGGUUUAUAUUCAUGGGAUAAGACACUAGAAAAAAGUUUUAUUAUGAUGAAAAAAGUAAGAAACAAUCAAACAGAACUUGCAAACCCUAAUCCUAUUGUGUUUUCUGAAUUUAUCACAAUACUGCACAAUAGGCAAAAAAGAAAAAAAUACAAUAUUUAUGCUAUUCAUACUUGAUAUGCUUGGUCUGCAGGGAAAAUAUGACUCAACCAUGGGACAUCUGGAGUUACGAAUAAACAGGAUUUUCCUGCAAAAAAAUUUAAAAUUUCAAAACCAUAUUCACAAUCAAGUCAAAUAUUUUUAUGUGUUCAACAGCUCUAGCGUCAACAUACCUGAUUUCUCUCUUUUCCAUUCAAGAGCAAAAAUCUGAACUUGCUGCAGAUAGCAUAAUCAUUGUUUCUGUGAUGCUGAAUUCUAUGCUGCUUCUAGUCAUUGAAUGAGAAUCAUAUCUUGACGUAAGGUAUGCGAGCAAUGAUGGGCCAAUAAUCUCCUUUUUCUUUUAAAAGCCGUCCUUUUAGAAGUGGACAUGACUCGAUUGCUAGGAUUUGAAGCGUAGGUGGGAGGCAAUCUUCUGGCAAGUACUGGAGCUUAGGACAGCUCACGAUCCAUAAAUCUUCAAGACAAGUGAGUUUAUGGAGGCUCCCAGAUAUGGAUUUCAGAUUCUUGAAUCCUUUGAUGAAAACAAAGAUCAGAGAAGCGGGAAGAUGUAGACCUUCAUAAUCUGGAAAGGAAACAAAAUCUGUAGAAGGACUUGUAGUAUCUACUUCAAGUCGUUUAAGGGAGGAGAGUCUGUCAAGCCCCCACUCUGACAUUUGCUGUGUCAGAUUUUUGCAGUUCCUAAUCUUAAAUGUGAUCAGGUUUGGAGGCAAGCCUCCUUCUGGGAAAGAAACCAGACUGUGACAGUCACUUAUCUCUAAAUUUUGAAGAGAAGUGAGCUUAUGCAGAUGAUUGGGAAGAGACCUCAAAUUUUCACAACUUGAAAGUGUAAAAGAGAGAAGAGAUGGGAUGAACAAUCUUCUUUCUGAGAACAACUCUAACAUAGGAGAAGAUGAUAUUGAUAAUACAGUGAGAUGACGUAACUGAUACAGUGACUCUAAUAAUUUUGUUGUGCAAUAGCAAAUAGAAAGAAUUCUAAGUGAAUAAGAAAACUGGUCACUUGAAGAGUACUUGAGAGAUGGGCAUCCUUCAACAUACAAAGUCUCAAGAUGAGACGUUGCUUUGCUAUCAUUACCUGAAACCAUAAUUCCCUUGGGCAGGGAAUCCAGAGAAUCACAAUCUCGAAUCUCAAGACAUUUUAGAGUAUAGUGCAAACUUGUUGCCGGGAAGGAUGUGAGUUUCGGGCAACCGUAGACAGUCAAUUCUUUGAGAGAUGUGAGACUAUUCAGUACAUUGGGCAGCUUCUCCAGGUUUUCACAUCUACCGAUGGUUAAAACUUCAAGGUUGCAAGGUAAAUGCCCUUCCUCGUCCUCAGCCAAUAGCAUGAGCUGCUGACACAUUCUGAUCUGUAAGAACUUGAGACAAGCAAGUUUACUCAAAUUAGCUCCAUCUUGCCACAAGUACAUCAGUUCACUGCAAUCUGCAAUAUCCAGAUCUUCCAGUGCAACCAAGGCCUGUAUAAGCUCUUUAGGCAAACUUCUAAGGUUGGGAAUUCUCGUAAUUCUUAUGAUAGUGAGGGAAGAGAGGUCAGAUAUACUUCUGAGAACCUCCUUGGGACAUUCUUCAACAUAGAGUUCAUAAAGAGAUGGCAGCUUUUUGGGUAAAUAUGCUAACUGAUGACAAUAACAAAGAUAAAGUUUUCUGAGGGAACCAAGGCUGCGGGGCAACUUCCCAACCAGCUUUGGACAGUUUGUUAUUGCAAGCUCAUGCAGAUUAGGGAAAAUUGCUACAGUUUCUUCAUUGAGACCACAUGACCAAGACCAUUGCUCCCACUUCAACAUAUUCUUAAUGCUUAAUGUCUCUAGGCAUAGAAAGCCAUACCCGGAAAAAUCAACACCCAAUUCUUUCACGCUAUCCAUGCCUUCUAUGCUCAAAUGUUUGAGCAAUCUUAAUUGCCAAAGUGAUGGUAAUGAUGUAAUUUUCCAACAAUUACAAAGCUCUAGCUCCACCAUAUUAAUGAAAGACGGAUCCCCUAUCCAUGAAGGGAAUAUUCUACCACCAUAUGAGGUAACUGAAACCUUUCUAAUAUUUUCAUGAGGCUGCAGUGACUUUAGAACCUGCAGUUCAUUUAUUUCAUUUUGGAAACCAUGAACGUCCUCAAUCCAAUCGAAGUCUAAUUCAUGAAGCCCUGGCUUCUCCUUUAGACAGGCAAGCUCUGCAUCUUGAAUAUUCAUCACAUUUUGCAGCCCUGUAAUGCGAAGUUGUCCUUGCAGAUUAGAAAAUUUCAUCAACUCUGUUAUCCGAAGUCCACUGCCUUCUCCCACAAUAAACUUAUUCAAUGUGUGGAGUUUUGUCAAAUUACCUAUAUAUGGUGGCAUUUCUUGCAAACCAUCUGUAUCUCUAAUAUCAACAUACCUGAGGUUGAUUAGAUUGCUGAUGCCUGAAGGUAAUUUAAUAAGCUUAAGGCACCCACGCAGUAUCAAUGUUUGUAGGUUGAUGAGUUGACAAUAUGAUUCAGGAAUCUGUUCAAUGGCAGUAUAAGACAAAUUAAGGAACCGUAAAUGCUUUAGCGCAGCAAUGGAACUUGGCAACUCUGCUAACCAAUAGCCAGCUAGUGAUAAUACCCUCAAGCAUUUUAAUUUUGGAACCAAGUCAUUAAUCACUGUACUAGAUAAGUAGCAGUGUUGGUACCAUGAUGAAAAAAGGGGUAAUGCUAAGAAUGUUCGCAAACUCUUCAUUUUGUAGAAACCUUCAAAUCUUUGUGAGGUGUCAUAAGUACGACGAGUGAAUGAUGAAUGGCGAACCAUUGCAUAUGAUUUUUCACUAUUAAACUUAUCAUCCAAAUUAAAGCAUGUUUCUCCACUAACAUAUUGAGCCAGAUCACUUAUUAGGUCGUGCAUAACAUACAACCGUUUGUUGUUAGUAGACUGUUGGAAAAGCGAUCUUGAUACUAAGUCAUGAAAAUAUUCCCUACCUAAGACUUCCAUUUGCUUCAUGGCCUUUGGUUGCUGCAGAAAACCCUCUGCCAUCCACAGUAAUACCAACUCAUUCUCAUCAAAUUGAAAGCCUUUUGGAAAAAUAGCACAGUAUGCAAAGCAACGCUUCAAAUGAGAUGGAAGGUGAUGGUAGCUCAACAAUAAGGCUGGAAAAAUUCCACUUGUAUGCUCAGAAAAACCCCAUAUCUUGCUAUUCAACAGUUGUGCCCACACAGUACAAUUUCUUUUACCUCGCAAGAGGCCUCCAAGGGUCUUGGCUGCCAAAGGUAAUCCUUGACACUUUUUAACAAUUUCUUCUCCCAUUUUCUUAAGAUUUGAAUGUUCAUCAAAAUGUGUUGUUCCCAAAGCAUGCUGGGCAAAUACAGACAGACAAUCAUUAUAUGACAGUUCUUUCAGAUUAAAAGCAGGAACAUUACCCAUCAUCAAUGAAAUUUCUUGAUUGCGAGUUGUGACAAUGAUUCUACUUCCCAUGGCCCCAUGUUCAAAAGGGCUGCGAAAGAGUGUCCAAAGAUCAUAGUCCUCAUUCCAAACAUCAUCUAACACAAUUAAAAAUUUCCUUCUGGAGAAAAUCUCUUUCAAUUUCACCAGCCGCAAAUUUAAAUCUUUGGCAUCAAAAAUUUCACCAACUGACUGAAGAAUUACUUUAGACAACCUAAGAACAUCAAAAUCUUCACCAACAGAAACCCAGGCUUUCAAAUCAAACUCCAAUAUGGCAUCAUUGUAGACAAGCUGAGCUAGAGUUGUCUUGCCGAGGCCUCCCAUCCCAAUUAUAGGAAUCACAGAGACCUCCGCAUCAUUUGUCUCAGCAUUCAACAAUUUCAGCAUCGCCUUCUUAUCUUCCUCCCUACCAUAAACCUUCGCUUCAUUGACCAAAGAGGUUGAGGGCGGUCUUUCCGUCACAUGGCUGACCCUCCUUCUAGUAUACUCUGCUAAACGGAGUUCAUCUUUUUGCUUUAUGAUCUCAUCUAAUCUAGCACCAGCUUUCUCUAUCUUAGAAACCAUCUCAGCAUUAAACUUAACAGUACUUAGAUUUACAUUCACCCCAUUACACAUGAUAGAGAAACAAUUUUGCACCUUAUUAUUUGUACGAACAGAUUUGUCUUCCAAGUUGUGUCGCUGAACCUCCGUGGCAAGUUCAUCAAUGAUAUCCUCCAGGUCGUAAGCCAAGUCUCUGAGAUCGCUUAACCAGAUCUCCACCAAUCGAUUUGCCGUCUGCUUCUCUUCUGCAUCUUCAAGCACCGCAUGAAUUCUCUUGAGCAUCUUCUCCCACUUCUUGAGUUGAGUCAAGACUUGCCCUUGGCCUAUAUAUUUCAUAAAGUCAAUGGAGUUCAACCUGUGGAGGAGCCCCUGAAAGCAAACGGAGAGGAUAGAGCCUCCAACAGCAGUCACAAUAUCCAUUGCAAAGAGUGAGUAAUGAGAGGAGAAGCUAUGAACUGAAGAUUGAAAGAAAGAGUUUACAAUGGAAGGUAUUGAAGAUUGAAAGAAGUAAAAGCUUUGAGAAGGUCCUCUGAGUCUGAGACAGAGGAACAAGA